rnacentral:rRNA from 1 species
GGGGGAUAACUACUGGAAACGGCAGCUAAUACCGCAUAACGUCGCAAGACCAAAGAGGGGGACCUUCGGGCCUCUUGCCAUCGGAUGUGCCCAGAUGGGAUUAGCUUGUAGGUGAGGUAACGGCUCACCUAGGCGACAAUCCCUAGCUGGUCUGAGAGGAUGACCAGCCACACUGGAACUGAGACACGGUCCAGACUCCUACGGGAGGCAGCAGUGGGGAAUAUUGCACAAUGGGCGCAAGCCUGAUGCAGCCAUGCCGCGUGUAUGAAGAAGGCCUUCGGGUUGUAAAGUACUUUCAGCGGGGAGGAAGGGAGUGAGGUUAAUAACCUCAUUCAUUGACGUUACCCGCAGAAGAAGCACCGGCUAACUCCGUGCCAGCAGCCGCGGUAAUACGGAGGGUGCGAGCGUUAAUCGGAAUUACUGGGCGUAAAGCGCACGCAGGCGGUCUGUCAAGUCGGAUGUGAAAUCCCCGGGCUCAACCUGGGAACUGCAUUCGAAACUGGCAGGCUGGAGUCUUGUAGAGGGGGGUAGAAUUCCAGGUGUAGCGGUGAAAUGCGUAGAGAUCUGGAGGAAUACCGGUGGCGAAGGCGGCCCCCUGGACAAAGACUGACGCUCAGGUGCGAAAGCGUGGGGAGCAAACAGGAUUAGAUACCCUGGUAGUCCACGCUGUAAACGAUGUCGACUUGGAGGUUGUUCCCUUGAGGAGUGGCUUCCGGAGCUAACG